rnacentral:rRNA from 1 species
GCUUGUCUCAAAGAUUAAGCCAUGCAUGUCUAAGUAUAAACAAAUCUAUACGUGAAACUGCGAAUGGCUCAUUAUAUCAGUUAUAGUUUAUUUGAUGGUUCAUACUACUUGGAUAACCGUAGUAAUUCUAGAGCUAAUACAUGCGUCAAAACCCGACUCCUGGGAGGGUUGUAUUUAUUAGAUGGAAACCAAUGCGGGGCAACCCGGUAUAUGGUGAUUCAUAAUAACUUUCGGAUCGAUCUUCGGAUCGAUGCAUCAUUCAAGUUUCUGCCCUAUCAGCUUUGGAUGGUAGGGUAUUGGCUUACCAUGGUUACAACGGGUAACGGGGAAUUAGGGUUCGAUUCCGGAGAGGGGGCCUGAGAAAUGGCCACCACUUCCAAGGAAGGCAGCAGG